AUACGUAGGUGGCAAGCGUUGUCCGGAAUUAUUGGGCGUAAAGCGCGCGCAGGUGGUUCCUUAAGUCUGAUGUGAAAGCCCCCGGCUCAACCGGGGAGGGUCAUUGGAAACUGGGGAACUUGAGUGCAGAAGAGGAUAGUGGAAUUCCAAGUGUAGCGGUGAAAUGCGUAGAGAUUUGGAGGAACACCAGUGGCGAAGGCGACUGUCUGGUCUGUAACUGACACUGAGGCGCGAAAGCGUGGGGAGCAAACAGGAUUAGAUACCCUGGUAGUCCACGCCGUAAACGAUGAGUGCUAAGUGUUGGGGGGUUUCCGCCCCUCAGUGCUGAAGCUAACGCAUUAAGCACUCCGCCUGGGGAGUACGGUCGCAAGACUGAAAAUCAAAGGAAUUGACGGG
rnacentral:rRNA from 1 species